rnacentral:tRNA from 2 species
GAGGGCAUAGCUCAGUCGGUAGAGCAGCUGCCUUUUAAGCAGCGGGUCGUGGGUUCGAGUCCCGCUGCCCUCACCA